AUUGAACGCUGGCGGCAUGCCUAACACAUGCAAGUCGAGCGGAGCGGCGGACGGGUGAGUAAUGCCUAGGAAUCUGCCUGGUAGUGGGGGCUAACGUCCGGAAACGGGCGCUAAUUCCGCAUCCUAUCCUAUGAGCCUAGGCCGGAUUAGCUAGUUGUUGGGGUAAAGGCCUACCAAGGGGACGAUCCGUAACUGGUCUGAGAGGAGGAUCAGUCACACUUGAACUGAGACACGGGCCAGACGCCUACGGAAGACAGCGGUGGGGAAUAUUGGACAAUGGGGGAAAGCCUGAUCCAGCCAUGCCGCGUGGGUGAGGAAGGUCUUCGGAUGGUAAAGCACUUUAAGUUGGGAGGCGGUACCAACAGAAUAAGCACCGGCUAACUUCGUGCCAGCAGCCGCGGUAAUUC
rnacentral:rRNA from 1 species